AAGGGUUUUAAGAGUUUUGGUGUGUUUUGAAGGUUUUGAGCAAAAAUAGCAAGUUUGGAAGUUUGGAGCUUUAGAAGAGGUUUUCUUCAUAUCUCCACGUUAGGAUCACUUGAUCUCUUGUUUGGAAGAGGUAAAGUCAAGAUCCAGACCCUCUUUUACUGAUUUUUGAAGGUUUUCAGGGAGUUGUAUGGAUAGUAUGCAUGAAUAGGGUUUUGGUUGAGGUUUUGCAUGCUUUUGUGUUUACGCAUGUUUAAGUGUUGUUUGUAUGUUUCUUGGGGUGAUAAGUGAGUUUUAGGCCCUUUUAUGCAUGUAUUAUGGUAUGUGCUAGUUGGGA
rnacentral:lncRNA from 1 species